CACAACUUUGGCUCGGCAACGCUGCCACUGUGAGCGUUCGACUGAUAGAGCAAGCGGGAGCUGUGUUUGAGGUCUGGCAACAAUCGCAUCCCAACAGCUGAGAGCAUGGCGCAUGGCUGAGAACCAAUAUAACUUGCGCCGGCAUUUGUCCGCUGCUCUUUGUUUACUAGUGUUUCAUUGGUGACUGACGUUGCGGUUGUUAAUCGCGGUUAUGAUGGGUGAUUUCGUCCUUGUGCGUAUGGUGACCGAGCCUGAAUGACUUCUGAGGCCACAGAUGGAACGGCCGAUGGGCAGCUUUGUUUACCUUCAAGACCGAGUGGUGCUGUGAGUUUGCUGAAGGCAACAACAAGACAGGAAAUAUGGGAUGUGGGCUUUGGAAGGACCAGCUGAUGAAAAAAUCAACGCCUGUGCUGCAUAGUAAGGCUUCUGGCAGACCUGAAAGCAUAGAUAGAUAUGGUGCCUGCCUGUUGGAAUUGCACCAGCUCGCUUCCCUGAAAGAAGCUAGGUGCUCAAGAAGUACUUGACUAACCUACCCGCAUUGUUAUUGUGACAGUCUGCAUCCCCAUUUGGCCUAUUUUUGGAUCCCACAAGACACGCUGCUACCCUGGGUUUUGUAUCUCGGUCAAUUGCUGAAGUUCUGCAAGCCCCAUUGAAGCCAACCUGUCAUCCGCAUCCAAUGGAAGAAACUCAUGCAUUGUUCUGGCCGUCAUAAUUUAUCUUAAGCUUAAGCUAGAAGCAUGGUAGAAACAGCAUCUAUUCUACAAGAAUUUACCACUGCAUGCCGUCGGGUGGCUACACCCGACAGGCUACUGUCUUGAACAGAUAUGGUGUUUUAUUCUAGAAUAUAUUUGUCAGCAGUACUACACCUUCUGUUUAUAUCCUUGGAAACAAACAAGCCAAGACACCAAAGACAACAUAGGAGAAAUUACUUGUACCUACUAAUUGAAUUAAAGAAAUGAUAAAUUAAUGGCAAUGAAAGUGGUUGAGAAAACUUGCCAUAGGCGUGCGAUGCUCUAACCAAUGGAGCUACCGCGGCACCGUUUUCCCAUCCACAUUCUUGUGUAUUUAUAUUUUACUACUAGAACUAACUACUACUACUACUGCUACUACUAUUAGAACUACAUCAUUUCCCACCUGCGCCAAGUUUUUUUUUCAUCCACUGUCAUUGCCUAUAAUUUAUCAU